rnacentral:rRNA from 1 species
UACAGAGGGGGCAAGCGUUGUUCGGAAUUACUGGGCGUAAAGCGUGCGCAGGCGGUGAUGUAAGACAGAUGUGAAAUCCCCGGGCUUAACCUGGGAACUGCAUUGGUGACUGGCAGGCUUUGAGUGUGGCAGAGGGAGGUAGAAUUCCACGUGUAGCAGUGAAAUGCGUAGAGAUGUGGAGGAAUACCGAUGGCGAAGGCAGCCUCCUGGGCCAACACUGACGCUCAUGCACGAAAGCGUGGGGAGCAAACAGG